rnacentral:rRNA from 1 species
GUGCCAGCAGCCGCGGUAAUACGUAGGGGCCGAGCGUUGUCCGGAGUUAUUGGGCGUAAAGCGCGCGCAGGCGGCUUCGCGCGCCCGACGUGAAAGCCCCCGGCUUAACCGGGGAGAGUCGUUGGGGACGGCGGAGCUUGAGGGCGGGAGAGGUCGGUGGAAUUCCCGGUGUAGUGGUGAAAUGCGUAGAGAUCGGGAGGAACACCUGUGGCGAAGGCGGCCGACUGGGCCGACCCUGACGCUGAGGCGCGAAGGCGUGGGGAGCGAACGGGAUUAGAAACCCCCGUAGUCC